rnacentral:lncRNA from 1 species
AAAGAACUAAAAAGCACGUCUACAAUGAAUUUGGACAAAUUGUUGUCUAGAUACAUUUAAAUCUAGACAACCUUUUGUCUAGGUUCAUUCUAUAUGUCAAAACUUUUUAUAUUUUUAUUAAUUUUCAUAUUUUUUAAAUUUCGUAAUAAUAAUAUAAAUAACUUGGUAUUUUACAAAUAAAAAAGCAUAUAAACUUACUA